rnacentral:lncRNA from 1 species
UGAGAGGAUGGGUAGGGGAAAGUUUAAGUGAUAUUUGCCAUCAUGGAGUCUUUAGUAAUUACUGAUGAUAACAAGUGGGAAAGCAGUGGGGAGUCGGUAGUGAAUCAGUUAUGAGAGUUCUCACCUGAUGCCAUUAUCCACCGUCCUUGUCUAAGGAAAUAAGGCAGUGAUGCCAAUACGUUUAGAGCUUUCAAUGAUAACAAAUAGCCUGGUGUGGCAUGCAUGCCAUAGAUCCGCCACCACUGAUAGAUGACCUGUGAGAGCCAGAAGGAUUCAGUUGAUUUCCUCUCUCUUGAUUUGUCUUAUGAAUGCCAAAGUGAGGCAAGUCUACCAGAGAAGCUGAAUAAAUUGCAGGUAACCGGAGCCCUUUUCCACAUCAGUGAUCAAUGGUGAAUGUUUCUGAGAGCAUAUUAGACAUUUAAUACUUUGGCUAAUGCAUGAACUGAACUUGCACCAACAGUCAGAACCUGCCAAGUUGCAUCUAGGGAGAUUUCCAUUGAAAGCAUCUGUAGAGAACAUUAGGAUGUUAGAUGCAGUAUUUCUUAGAAAAGGUAACAAGGGUUAACUUGUUAAGGUAUUCACAUAGAUCCUGUGCUGCCUCAUGUGGAAAACUACUGAAAAAACUACUU